CGGGGCUAAUACCGGAUAACACAUGAAACCGCAUGGUUUCAUGAUGAAAGACGGUUUUGCUGUCGCUUAUAGAUGGACCCGCGGCGUAUUAGCUAGUUGGUAAGGUAACGGCUUACCAAGGCAACGAUACGUAGCCGACCUGAGAGGGUGAUCGGCCACACUGGAACUGAGACACGGUCCAG
rnacentral:rRNA from 1 species